rnacentral:rRNA from 1 species
UCUGGUGGCGAUAGCGAAGAGGUCACACCCGUUCCCAUACCGAACACGGAAGUUAA